rnacentral:lncRNA from 10 species
UCUUUUAAUGAUUGCCAGUAAUGCAAGAAACACUCCUUGAGAGGGAGGGGAAAAGACUUUCUUAAAUAUUUCAUUUAUGACCUGCAAAUUCAAGAAUAAAGACACUGAGUGGAUUGGUUUUCAACAUCGUGCCUGCCGAUAUGCCUACAGAAUCAUCGAUGAGAUGAGCUGCUGUUGAUGUGAAAAAUAUUAAGUGUUGGCUGAGAUUUAGGAACAUCUAAAUCUAAACGGCUUUCGUGACAUUCUUGGACAUUGGGAUUGAGGAGGUGUCUCACCUGGGAGCUCUCUUUGCACUAUGAUCAAAAUGGAGUCUUGCCAGCUGCCCAGGGUAAUAGCCUUGAACGUCUCUUCCUUGGUGAGCGAUGAAUAUACUAGAGCAGAAAGUGAGGAGGUGAGAAGAAAGCCAUUCUUACAAUUAGUUCAUUCCAGAAGAAUGCCAGCUGCGGCAUAAUACAAAACGUAUUUGGUCUUUGUCCCCAGUUUCUGGCACUGAGCCCCUAAAACCCAUGGAAUUUCCUGAUAAGGGUCUUUUUCAUGCAUAACCAGCCCUUUUCUACCAUAGCUGAGUGUAUGGGCCUCGCAGGCCUCCCUCCUCCCACCACAACCUCCCGCAUCUGUAAUAAAAUGUUAUUUAUGUUCAGG